AGGUCAAUGAUACUGUUCAUGAUAGGAACCCAGCAAGACGAAAAGUAAUAAAAUAGCUCUGAGACUAAGCAAGGCUCUGCUACUCCAACUGAUGGACAGUUAAUUACCUGAGCAUAAAACAGUGAGAGCACUGGGAGAAAUAGAGAACUUUGCAAUAUGGACCCCUACUAUGGCUGGUGGCCUAUUUUCUAUUGACAGAAACUACUUUGAAGAGAUAGGAACUUACGAUGCAGGAAUGGAUAUCUGGGGUGGAGAGAAUCUUGAAAUGUCUUUUAGGAUUUGGCAAUGUGGAGGCUCCUUGGAGAUUGUUACUUGCUCCCAUGUUGGUCAUGUUUUUCGGAAGGCAACUCCAUACACUUUUCCUGGUGGCACUGGUCAUGUCAUCAACAAGAACAACAGGAGACUGGCAGAAGUUUGGAUGGAUGAAUUUAAAGAUUUCUUCUACAUCAUAUCCCCAGGUGUUGUCAAAGUGGAUUAUGGAGAUGUGUCAGUCAGAAAAACACUAAGAGAAAAUCUGAAGUGUAAGCCCUUUUCUUGGUACCUAGAAAACAUCUAUCCGGACUCCCAGAUCCCAAGACGUUAUUACUCACUUGGUGAGAUAAGAAAUGUUGAAACCAAUCAGUGUUUAGACAACAUGGGCCGCAAGGAAAAUGAAAAAGUGGGUAUAUUCAACUGUCAUGGUAUGGGAGGAAAUCAGGUAUUUUCUUACACUGCUGACAAAGAAAUCCGAACCGAUGACUUGUGCUUGGAUGUUUCUAGACUCAAUGGACCUGUAAUCAUGU
rnacentral:sRNA from 1 species